rnacentral:rRNA from 1 species
GAUGAACGCUGGCGGCGUGCUUAACACAUGCAAGUCGAACGGACUUAUUCUUUGGGAAGCGAUUAGUUUACUAAGCGUGGAACUGUGAAUAAGUUAGUGGCGGACGGGUGAGUAACGCGUGGGCAACCUGCCUUGCACUGGGGGAUAACAGUUGGAAACGGCUGCUAAUACCGCAUAAGCGCACGCUACCGCAUGGUAGUGUGUGAAAAACUCCGGUGGUGUAAGAUGGGCCCGCGUCUGAUUAGUUAGUUGGCAGGGUAAUGGCCUACCAAGACGAUGAUCAGUAGCCGGCCUGAGAGGGUGAACGGCCACAUUGGGACUGAGACACGGCCCAAACUCCUACGGGAGGCAGCAGUGGGGAAUAUUGCACAAUGGGCGAAAGCCUGAUGCAGCAACGCCGCGUGAGGGAAGAAGGGUUUCGGCUCGUAAACCUCUAUCGACGGGGAAGAAAGAAAUGACGGUACCCGAGUAAGAAGCACCGGCUAACUACGUGCCAGCAGCCGCGGUAAUACGUAGGGUGCAAGCGUUAUCCGGAAUCACUGGGUGUAAAGGGUGAGUAGGCGGUUUGUUAAGUCACAUGUGAAAUCCCGGGGCUCAACCCCGGGACUGCAUGAGAAACUGGCGAACUAGAGUACAGGAGAGGUAAGCGGAAUUCCUAGUGUAGCGGUGAAAUGCGUAGAUAUUAGGAAGAACACCAGUGGCGAAGGCGGCUUACUGGACUGAAACUGACGCUGAGUCACGAAAGCGUGGGGAGCGAACAGGAUUAGAUACCCUGGUAGUCCACGCUGUAAACGAUGAGUGCUAGGUGUUGGGUAGAGAUACUCGGUGCCGCAGCUAACGCAAUAAGCACUCCACCUGGGGAGUACGAUCGCAAGAUUG